UGUUGAGAACUCACUGGCCCUGGAGCCAAUCUUGAGCAGAGCCUAUAAGGCAGAAGGAUCCAGACUCUGAAUAACCAGACAUGCCUGCAGGAGACCAUGUGAGUGAUGGAAAUAAAACUCUGCUGGGGCAUUCAAAUAUUGAAAGAAUGAAUGAAUGAAUAAGUGUUUGCACCAGUGAGAUACUGAGCGGACCUAUUUGAAAAGAGAGAGUGGAAGAAUGGGCUCCGGAUGUGGGACUGCAGAGGACACUUGGAACAGGGGCCAGCAAAAGGACUCUGAGCUCCAGAGGGGCAUGGAAUCUAUGAAUGGAUCUUCUUUGAGAAAAAGAUCUUUACGAAGGUUGGCGAGAAAGAGGUGCCCACUGACUCAGACAAUAUGCCAGCUGCUAAAAAAUAAAAUGAAGAAAACAAAUCAAAGGGAUGAGGGGGAUGAAGAGAGAGAUUGAUUAAUGGGUAA
rnacentral:lncRNA from 10 species